rnacentral:rRNA from 1 species
GAUGAACGCUGGCGGCGGGCCUAAUACAUGCAAGUCGAGCGAACAGACGAGGAGCUUGCUCCUCUGACGUUAGCGGCGGACGGGGGAGUAACACGUGGAUAACCUACCUAUAAGACUGGGAUAACUUCGGGAAACCGGAGCUAAUACCGGAUAAUAUAUUGAACCGCAUGGUUCAAUAGUGAAAGACGGGUUUGCUGUCACUUAUAGAUGGAUCCACGCCGCAUUAGCUAGUUGGUAAGGUAACGGCUUACCAAGGCAACGAUGCGUAGCCGACCUGAGAGGGUCAUCGGCCACCCUGGAACUGAGACACGGUCCAGACUCCUACGGGAGGCCGCAGUAGGGACUCUUCCGCAAUGGGCGAAAGCCUGACGGAGCAACGCCGCCUGAGUGAUGACGGUCUUCGGAUCGUAAAACUCUGUUAUUAGGGAAGAACAAAUGUGCAAGUACCUAUGCACGUCUUGACGGUACCUAAUCAGAAAGCCCCGGCUAACUACGUG